AAGCUUUGUAGUAUAAAGAUAACGUUAAAUUGCAAGUUUAAAGAUGUGAAAUUCACUAAGGCUUU
rnacentral:tRNA from 1 species